GAGUAACGCGUAGACAACCUGCCGCAAGAUGGGGACGAACAGCCGAAGGACUGCUAAUACCGAAUGUUGUCAAGUUUUCCGCGAUGGGAGGCUUGAUUAAAGAUGGCCUCUGCUUGUAAGCUAUCGCUUUGCGAUGGGUCGUGCGUCUGAUUAGCUAGUUGGUGGGGUAACGGGCCUACCAAGGCGACGAUCAGUAGCCGGUCUGAGAGGAUGAACGGCCACAUUGGAACUGAGACACGGUCCAGACUCCUACGGGAGGCAGCAGUGGGGAAUCUUCCGCAAUGGGCGAAAGCCUGACGGAGCAACGCCGCGUGAGUGAAAAGAAGGGUUUCGGCUCGUAAAGCUCUGUUGACGGGGACGAAUGUGCGAAAUGCGAAUAGUUUUUCGCAAUGACGGUACCCGUCGAGGAAGCCACGGCUAACUACGUGCCAGCAGCAGC
rnacentral:rRNA from 1 species